rnacentral:rRNA from 1 species
AUUGAACGCUGGCGGCAGGCCUAACACAUGCAAGUCGAGCGGAUGAGUGGUGCUUGCUCCAUGAUUCAGCGGCGGACGGGUGAGUAAUGCCUAGGAAUCUGCCUGGUCGUGGGGGACAACGUUUCGAAAGGAACGCUAAUACCGCAUACGUCCUACGGGAGCACGUGGGGGAUCUCCGGACCCCACGCUAUCAGAUGAGCCUAGGUCGGAUCAUCUAGGUGGGGAGGUAUAGGCUCACCAAGGCGACGAGCCGUAACUGGUCUGAGAGGAUGAUCAGUCACACUGGAACUGAGACACAGUCCAGACUCCUACGGGAGGCAGCAGUGGAGAAUAUUGGACAAUGGGCGAAAGCCUAAUCCAGCCAUGCCGCGUGUGUGAGGAAGGUCUUCGGAUUGUAAAGCACUUUAAGUUGGGAGGAAGGGCAGUAAGUUAAUACCUUGCUGUUUUGACGUUACCAACAGAAUAAGCACCGGCUAACUUCGUGCCAGCCGCCGCAGUAACAC